rnacentral:rRNA from 1 species
UGGCGGCCUUAGCGCGGUGGUCCCACCUGACCCCAUGCCGAACUCAGAAGUGAAACGCCGUAGCGCCGAUGGUAGUGUGGGGUCUCCCCAUGCGAGAGUAGGGAACUG